AUGGUGGGAGCUGUGUGCUCGUUCCCCUGUCCCAGCGUCCCGGGCUGCCGUGAUGGCCAUCCCUGCCGUGAGGAGGAGCGGCAGAGAUCCCCCGCACCCCCGGGAGCCCGCGGGCAGACACCGACCCUGCUCCGGGCUGGCGGCUAUCGCUGGGGGAGGCUAUCUCGUCCAGGACUACGUUUCCCAGCGGCUCCUCCCGGGGCUGCACAUGCUCGAUGCGGCUCCCGGCUCCUCCCGGCAGCUCCCGGCGCGGCGCCCGGUGCGGCGCAGGGGCGGUCGGUGCGGUUCCCGGUUCUCGUUCCCGGUGCGGCUCCCGGUGCGGCUCCCGGUACCAUCGGCGGCGCGGCGCUGCCCGGGGCGGUUCCCGAUUCCCGGGGCGGUUCCCGGUUCCAGGGGCGGUUCCCGGUGCCACCCCCGGCGGGGCAUCCUCCCGGUGCGCCCUCGGGAGAGCACGGCCGAGCCCCGCCGCCGCCCCGGGCCCGAGCGCCCCCGGGCCCCGCGGGCCGGCAGCAUGCCCCGCGGGCGAGCCUGGACGCAGGCGGAGGUCAGCAGCCUCCUGUCGCUGGUGGGGGGCUCGGGGGAGGCCGCACUGCUCAUGGCCUCCACGUCGCGACCCAACGAGGCGCUCUGGCGGGAGAUCUCCCGGGGUCUGGCGGCGGCCGGCUACGGGCGCAGCGUGGCCCAGUGCCGCUCCAAGUGGAAGGCGCUCAAGCAGGCUUUCCACUCGGAGCGGGAGACGCGCCGGAGGGCAGGACACCACUCGCCCCGGCUGCCGCCGCACUAUCGAGCCAUGAAGAGCAUCUGGAAGGCGGCCGGACGGCCCGUCUUCGGCGAACGGAGGAUGCCAGACGUGGUGAAGCUGCCCUCCAGAAAGCGCAGGUCAGCCCUUGCCACACGCUCUCCAUCCUCAUCAGAGACACCAGAGCAGGACGUUGGCGGGGACACCCCCUGCACACUGCUGUCUCCGAUGCUGCAGCGUGCGAAGGACGAGCCAGACACUCUUUCAAGUGGAUGUGGGAUUCUCCUUCUCUUCCAGUCCUAGUCUGUUGUGUAGCGUUGCUGCGCGCUGCUCCGCCGCUGCUGCCUUCCAGCCCAGAGGUGGCUGCAUUGCAGUGGUGGCAGCUGGUGGGGACCACAUUACAGGAGUGCAACCCACACCCCCUGCCAUGCCACACGCCGAUUGCUGCUUCCCUCCCCUCUCCCUCCUGGGCUGUCACACUGACCCGAAACAGGAAGGAUUUGAGGGGAAGGCCGGUUUUCCUGGUGAGACGUCCCUGGGGAUGGGAAGAGGAAACCAAAUGCUGCCCCUGGCUGUUGCAGCCACAGGCUCCCAUGAGACAGCAGCCACGAGUGAGCAGCCAGCAACAGCUGAAGAUGCAUCAGACACAAGCCUGCAUGGGUCUGGCGUGGCAGGCUUGCUCCAGAAUGUCCAGCAACUGCUGGUGCAGAUCCUGCAGACAUCACGGCGGCAGCAGGCACUGCUGGAGAGCCUGGCCAGUGACACAGUCUCCCACCUCCACCUCCUUUCCCACAGUCUCGUGCAGGUGGGCGAGACCUUGCACCAACUCCUGCUCCGGCCACAGAUCCAUCCUGGCCCCAUUGGCCACUACAUCCCCCAUAUGCCCCUUUUUGAGGGUGGCUCUGGAGUGCCCUGCUCCCCUGGUGCUCCCCACACUUCCCUGGAUCACAAAGAGGAGCCUCAGCUGUCCCCCAAUGCCAGGUGCAUCACCCCGUGAGUGCCACCAUCACUGGCCACAGGAGCAACAGCUUUGCUACACAGCCACAGCACAGAUCUUUAUAUCAGAGGUUCCAGAUAUUUUCAAAGUUUAUACUAGAGAGACAUUUUAAUAAAAUUAAAAAUAGCUUUUCUACCAGU
ensembl:lncRNA uncharacterized LOC107215779